GCUAUAGGAUGGGCCCGCGGCGCAUUAGCUAGUUGGUGAGGUAACGGCUCACCAAGGCGACGAUGCGUAGCCGACCUGAGAGGGUGAUCGGCCACACUGGGACUGAGACACGGCCCAGACUCCUACGGGAGGCAGCAGUAGGGAAUCUUCCACAAUGGGCGAAAGCCUGAUGGAGCAACGCCGCGUGAGUGAAGAAGGUUUUCGGAUCGUAAAACUCUGUUGUAAGGGAAGAACAAGUACAGUAGUAACUGGCUGUACCUUGACGGUACCUUAUUAGAAAGCCACGGCUAACUACGUGCCAGCAGCCGCGGUAAUACGUAGGUGGCAAGCGUUGUCCGGAAUUAUUGGGCGUAAAGCGCGCGCAGGCGGUCCUUUAAGUCUGAUGUGAAAGCCCACGGCUCAACCGUGGAGGGUCAUUGGAAACUGGG
rnacentral:rRNA from 1 species